GGGGGGGGGGGGGGGGGGGGGGGGGGGGGGGGGGGGGGGGGGGGGGGGGGGGGGCGGGGGCGGAUUGGAAGGGCGGCGGACGGGGGAGUAGCGCGUGGGGAAUCGGCCUGUGAGCGGGGGACAACAUUUGGGAACGAAUGCUGAUACUGCAUAACCACUUUAAACAUAAGUUUUAAGUUUGAUAGAUGCAAUUGCAUCACUCAAAGAUGAUCCCGCGUUGUAUUAGCUAGUUGGUGAGGUAAAGGCUCACCAAGGCGAUGAUACAUAGCCGACCUGAGAGGGUGAUCGGCCACAAUGGGACUGAGACACGGCCCAAACUCCUGCGGGAGGCAGCAGUAGGGAAUCUUCGGCAAUGGACGAAAGUCUGACCGAGCAACGCCGCGUGAGUGAAGAAGGUUUUCGGAUCGUAAAACUCUGUUGGUAGAGAAGAACGUUGGUGAGAGUAGAAAGCUCAUCAAGUGACGGUAACUACCCAGAAAGGGACGGCUAACUACGUG
rnacentral:rRNA from 1 species